rnacentral:rRNA from 1 species
ACCUGGCGGCAGCCUACACAUGCAAGUCGAGCGGUUGACGGGAGCUUGCUCCCUGAUUCAGCGGCGGACGGGUGAGUAAUGCCUAGGAAUCUGCCUAUUAGUGGGGGACAACGUUUCGAAAGGAACGCUAAUACCGCAUACGUCCUACGGGAGAAAGCAGGGGACCUUCGGGCCUUGCGCUAAUAGAUGAGCCUAGGUCGGAUUAGCUAGUUGGUGGGGUAAUGGCUCACCAAGGCGACGAUCCGUAACUGGUCUGAGAGGAUGAUCAGUCACACUGGAACUGAGACACGGUCCAGACUCCUACGGGAGGCAGCAGUGGGGAAUAUUGGACAAUGGGCGAAAGCCUGAUCCAGCCAUGCCGCGUGUGUGAAGAAGGUCUUCGGAUUGUAAAGCACUUUAAGUUGGGAGGAAGGGCAGUAAAUUAAUACUUUGCUGUUUUGACGUUACCGACAGAAUAAGCACCGGCUAACUCUGUGCCAGCAGCCGCGGUAAU